ACUAAAUAGAUACCCGGGUAGUCCACGCCCUAAACGAUGUCUACUAGUUGUCGGGUCUUAAUUGACUUGGUAAACGCAGCUAAACGCGUGAAAGUAGACCGCCUGGGGAGUACGGUCGCAAGAUUAAAACUCAAAGGAAUUGACGGGGACCCGCACAAGCGGUGGAUGAUGUGGAUUAAUUCGAUGCAACGCGAAAAACCUUACCUACCCUUGACAUGGAUGGAAUCCUUGAGAGAUUGAGGAGUGCCCGAAAGGGAACCAUUACACAGGUGCUGCAUGGCUGUCGUCAGCUCGUGUCGUGAGAUGUUGGGUUAAGUCCCGCAACGAGCGCAACCCUUGUCAUUAGUUGCUACGAAAGGGCACUCUAAUGAGACUGCCGGUGACAAACCGGAGGAAGGUGGGGAUGACGUCAAGUCCUCAUGGCCCUUAUGGGUAGGGCUUCACACGUCAUACAAUGGUACAUACAGAGGGCCGCCAACCCGGCGAGGGGGUAGCUAAUCCCAGAAAGUGUAUCGUAGUCCGGAUUGUAGUCUGCAACUCG
rnacentral:rRNA from 1 species